rnacentral:rRNA from 1 species
UCUGGUAGUUAUGGCAAGAAGGUCACACCCGUUCCCAUCCCGAACACGGUAGUUAAGCUUCUCUGCGCCAAUGGUAGUUGGGGGCUUCCCCCUGCGAGAGUAGGUCGCUGCCGGGC